GUAGUUAGCCGGGGCUUCCUCCUUGGCUACCGUCACUUUCUUCGUCACCAAGGACAGAGGUUUACAACCCGAAAGCCUUCUUCCCUCACGCGGCGUUGCUGGGUCAGGCUUGCGCCCAUUGCCCAAUAUUCCCCACUGCUGCCUCCCGUAGGAGUCUGGACCGUGUCUCAGUCCCAGUGUGGCCGAUCACCCUCUCAGGUCGGCUACCGAUCGUCGUCUUGGUGGGCCGUUACCUCGCCAACUAACUAAUCGGACGCGAGGCCACCUUUCACCGGAUUGCUCCUUUGACCCCUGAACCAUGUGGCUCUGUGGUCUCAUGCGGUAUUAGCACAACUUUCGCUGCGUUAUCCCCCUGUAAGGGACAGGUUGCUCACGCGUUACUCACCCGUCCGCCGCUAGAACACAUUUCGUAUUACUACUCAUCGUGUCCCCGCUCGACUUGCAUGUGUUAGGCACGCCGCCAGCGUUCGUCCUGAGCCAGAUCAAACUCUGA
rnacentral:rRNA from 1 species